AUUGUUUCUCAGCCUUUUGGCUAAGAUCAAGUGUAGUACCUAGUCUUACCAGUUUAAUAGCUAGGGAAUUGGUAAAAAUCCUGUUUUUGAGUGUUUAGGUCAGAUAGGAGAGCUGAGAGAGAUACUCAGUUUACUAACUAGCCUGAGGCUAUUUAAAGUCUUAUUGAAGGGUGCCAGGCUAGCUUA